rnacentral:tRNA from 1 species
GGCAAGAUGGCCGAGUGGUCUAAGGCGCUGCGUUUAGGUUCGUUCUAAACAUCCUCCGCAGUCUUCACGGGCGUGGGUUCGAAUCCCACUCUUGUCAA